GCCAGCGGGGGACAGUGGUUUGAGCAUUGGACUACGACUCUGGAGACCAGGGUUCAACUCCCAGCUCGGCCA
rnacentral:tRNA from 1 species